GUAGGUGAACCUGCGGAAGGAUCAUUACUGAAGUGAGUCUUCAUCAUUGAAGCUUCUUCCCAUUGUGCUGGCUUUGACCGUAUGUAAUGUUGGGGAUUAAACAUGGUUAAAAUUUCUUUUAGCCGUCCCCAGCAAGUUAUCUUAUCCUUUAUUAAAUUGAACUGAACUCAUUUUGAGAUUACAUAAAAAAUAAUCUUUUAAUACAACUUUCAACAACGGAUCUCUUGGUUCUC
rnacentral:misc_RNA from 1 species